rnacentral:rRNA from 1 species
CCUACGGGAGGCAGCAGUGAGGAAUAUUGGUCAAUGGACGAAAGCCUGAACCAGCCAAGUCGCGUGAAGGAUGAAGGAUCUAUGGUUUGUAAACUUCUUUUAUAUGGGAAUAAAGUGAGGAACGUGUUCCUUUUUGUAUGUACCAUAUGAAUAAGCAUCGGCUAACUCCGUGCCAGCAGCCGCGGUAAUACGGAGGAUGCGAGCGUUAUCCGGAUUUAUUGGGUUUAAAGGGUGCGUAGGUGGUUAAUUAAGUCAGCGGUGAAAUUUUGGGGCUCAACCAUAAAAGUGCCGUUGAUACUGGUGGACUAGAGUAUAUAUGAGGUAGGCGGAAUGCGUGGUGUAGCGGUGAAAUGCAUAGAGAUCACGCAGAACUCCGAUUGCGAAGGCAGCUUACUAAACUAUAACUGACACUGAAGCACGAAAGCGUGGGGAGCAAACAGGAUUAGAUACCCUUGUAGUC